rnacentral:rRNA from 1 species
UACGAAGGGGGCUAGCGUUGCUCGGAAUCACUGGGCGUAAAGCGCACGUAGGCGGAUUGCUAAGUCAGGGGUGAAAGCCCCGGGCUCAACCUGGGAACCGCGCUUGAGACUGGCACGCUAGAGUUCGGGAGAGGAUGGUGGAAUUCCCAGUGUAGAGGUGAAAUUCGUAGAUAUUGGGAAGAACACCGAUGGCGAAGGCAGCCAUCUGGACCGACACUGACGCUGAGGCGCGAAAGCGUGGGGAGCAAACAGG